rnacentral:lncRNA from 1 species
CUUCAAGAUCCUUGGGGUGAUUCCCGAACAGAAAGUCAUCCUUGCUACUUACAUCUUAGUGGGAGAAGUAGACCACUAGUGGCAACUCAAACAGACCACCCUGUCCUUUUCAGUCACUUGAGAACAGUUCCUGAUGGCCUUUCGUACAGAGUACCUCCCUGAGCAUCUCCGACAUUUGAAGGAGAUAGAGUUUGCACACUUGGUCCAGGGGGACAUGACUGUAUCUAAAUAUGCUUGUAAGUUCUUAGAGUUUGGUCGAUAUUCCCCUAAGAGCAUGAUGGAUGAAGGCAG